GAGUGUCUUGGAUAUGUUCCUAAUUCACACCUGGUUGGUCACCUAUUAUAUGCCCAGUAACCGAUAUCCCUGGUGUUCCUUCCUUCUGCUCCCUAUUAUGACUUUUGCCCCAUGUGGAGUCAGAUUUUCCUGAGUUGAGAUAUGCCUUUUGGGUCCUCCUCAGAUGUUUCGGAUGAUUGUUAUCUUUCACCCUUAUACCGGUCUUAGAU
rnacentral:lncRNA from 1 species